UACGUAGGGACCAAGCGUUGUUCGGAUUUACUGGGCGUAAAGGGCGCGCAGGCGGUUCGUUUAGUCCGAGGUGAAAUCUCCCGGCUCAACUGGGAGGGGUCUUUGGAUACUGGCGGACUUGAGGUGAGCAGAGGUGAGCGGAAUUCUGGGUGUAGUGGUGAAAUGCGUAGAUAUCUGGAGGAACACCGGUGGCGAAGGCGGCAUCCUGGACCGGCAUUGACGCUGAGGCGCGAAGCCAGGGGAGCAAACGGG
rnacentral:rRNA from 1 species